rnacentral:rRNA from 1 species
UGCAGUCGACGAGACAUCGUUUUAGAUUGAAGGUGCUUGCACCUGAUUGAAAAAACAUUUUGUCGAGUGGCGGACGGGUGAGUAACACGUAGGUAACCUACCCAAAAGAGGGGGAUAACAUCUGGAAACAGGUGCUAAUACCGCAUAACAACAUUUAUCGCAUGAUAGAUGUUUGAAAGAUGGUUUCGGCUAUCACUUUUGGAUGGACCUGCGGCGUAUUAGUUAGUUGGUGAGGUAACGGCUCACCAAGACGAUGAUACGUAGCCGAACUGAGAGGUUGAUCGGCCACACUGGGACUGAGACACGGCCCAGACUCCUACGGGAGGCAGCAGUAGGGAAUCUUCCACAAUGGACGAAAGUCUGAUGGAGCAACGCCGCGUGAGUGAAGAAGGUUUUCGGAUCGUAAAACUCUGUUGUUGGAGAAGAAUGUAUCUGAUAGUAACUGAUCAGGUAGUGACGGUAUCCAACCAGAAAGCCACGGCUAACUACGUGCCAGCAGCCGCGGUAAUACGUAGGUGGCAAGCGUUAUCCGGAUUUAUUGGGCGUAAAGCGAGUGCAGGCGGUUUAUUAAGUCUGAUGUGAAAGCCCUCGGCUCAACCGAGGAAGUGCAUCGGAAACUGGUUUACUUGAGUGCAGAAGAGGAGAGUGGAACUCCAUGUGUAGCGGUGGAAUGCGUAGAUAUAUGGAAGAACACCAGUGGCGAAGGCGGCUCUCUGGUCUGUUACUGACGCUGAGGCUCGAAAGUAUGGGUAGCAAACAGGAUUAGAUACCCUGGUAGUCCAUACCGUAAACGAUGAGUGCUAAGUGUUUGGGGGUUUCCGCCCCUAAGUGCUGGAGCUAACGCAUUAAGCACUCCGCCUGGGGAGUACGACCGCAAGGUUGAAACUCAAAGGAAUUGACGGGGGCCCGCACAAGCGGUGGAGCAUGUGGUUUAAUUCGAAGCAACGCGAAGAACCUUACCAGGUCUUGACAUCUUCUGACAUUUCUAGAGAUAGAAGGUUCCCUUCGGGGACAGAAUGACAGGUGGUGCAUGGUUGUCGUCAGCUCGUGUCGUGAGAUGUUGGGUUAAGUCCCGCAACGAGCGCAACCCUUAUUAUCAGUUGCCAGCAUUAAGUUGGGG